GACGAACGCUGGCGGCGUGCUUAACACAUGCAAGUCGAACGGAAAGGCCCUGCUUGCAGGGUGCUCGAGUGGCGAACGGGUGAGUAACACGUGGGUGAUCUGCCCCUUACUUUGGUAUAAGCCUGGGAAACUGGGUCUAAUACUGGAUAGGACCAUGCUGUAGGUGGUGUGGUGGAAAGAUUAGUUUCGGUAAGGGAUGAGCUCGCGGCCUAUCAGCUUGUUGGUGGGGUAACGGCCUACCAAGGCGUCGACGGGUAGCCGGCCUGAGAGGGUGGACGGCCACAUUGGGACUGAGAUACGGCCCAGACUCCUACGGGAGGCAGCAGUGGGGAAUAUUGCACAAUGGGCGCAAGCCUGAUGCAGCGACGCCGCGUGGGGGAUGACGGCCUUCGGGUUGUAAACUCCUUUCAGCCAUGACGAAGCCCUUGUGGUGACGGUAGUGGUAGAAGAAGCACCGGCUAACUACGUG
rnacentral:rRNA from 1 species